rnacentral:pre_miRNA from 1 species
CUACUACUCGCUCCGUCCAACAAAAGAUAUCUCAAGUUUAUCAAAAUUUGAAUGUAUCUAGACAUGACUUAGUGUAUAAAUGCAGUCAAAUUUAAGUCAAAUUUGAGACAUGCUUUAUUGAACGGAGGAGUAUUUU